UACAGAGGGUGCAAGCGUUAAUCGGAAUUACUGGGCGUAAAGGGCGCGUAGGUUGUGAAGUAAGUUGGAUGUGAAAUAUUCGGGCUUAACCUGAAAAGGCCAUCCAAUACUGCUUGACUAGAGUACGGUAGAGGGAAGGGGAAUUUCCGGUGUAGCGGUGAAAUGCGUAGAUCUCGAGAGGAACACCGAUGGCGAAAGCAGCUCCUUGGUUCAUUCCUGACGUUGAAACACGAAAGCGUGGGGAGCAAACAGGAUUAGAUACCCC
rnacentral:rRNA from 1 species